UACGUAGGGGGCAAGCGUUGUCCGGAUUUAUUGGGCGUAAAGCGCGUGUAGGCGGCUGGGUAGGUCCGCUGUGAAAACUCGAGGCUCAACCUCGAGAGGUCGGUGGAAACCAUCCAGCUAGAGUCCGGAAGAGGAGAAUGGAAUUCCUGGUGUAGCGGUGAAAUGCGCAGAUAUCAGGAAGAACACCCGUGGCGAAGGCGGUUCUCUGGGACGGUACUGACGCUGAGACGCGAAAGCGUGGGGAGCGGACAGG
rnacentral:rRNA from 1 species